CAGCAGCCGCGGUAAUACGAAGGGUGCAAGCGUUACUCGGAAUUACUGGGCGUAAAGCGUGCGUAGGUGGUGGUUUAAGUCCGUUGUGAAAGCCCUGGGCUCAACCUGGGAAUUGCAGUGGAUACUGGGUCACUAGAGUGUGGUAGAGGAUAGUGGAAUUUCCGGUGUAGCAGUGGAAUGCGUAGAGAUCGGAAGGAACAUCUGUGGCGAAAGCGGCUCACUGGACCAUUACUGACGCUGAGGCGCGAAAGCUAGGGGAGCAAACAGGAUUAGAUACCCCUGUAGUCCCUGUCUCUUAUAC
rnacentral:rRNA from 1 species